UUCCGUAGGUGGACCUGCGAAAGGAUCAUUACCUAGAGUUUGUGGGCUUUGCCUGCUAUCUCUUACCCAUGUCUUUUGAGUACUUACGUUUCCUCGGUGGGCUCGCCCGCCGAUUGGACAAAUUUAAACCCUUUGCAGUUGCAAUCAGCGUCUGAAAAACAUAAUAGUUACAACUUUCAACAACGGAAGUAGUGUGAAUUGCAGAAUUCAGUGAAUCAUCGAAUCUUUGAACGCACAUUGCGCCCCUUGGUAUUCCAUGGGGCAUGCCUGUUCGAGCGUCAUUUGUACCUUCAAGCUUUGCUUGGUGUUGGGUGUUUGUCUCGCCUCUGUGUGUAGACUCGCCUCAAAACAAUUGGCAGCCGGCGUAUUGAUUUCGGAGCGCAGUACAUCUCGCGCCUUGCACUCAUAACGACGACGUCCAAAAGUACAUUUUUUA
rnacentral:rRNA from 1 species